UAAAGAAAAGAGGUUUCAUUGGCUCUUGAUUCUGCAGGUUGUACAGGAAGCAUGGUGCUGGCAUCUGCUUCCGAUGAGGGCCUCAGGGAGCUUACAAUCAUGGUGGAAGACGAAGGGGAGCCAAUGUUUCACAUGUUGAGAGUGAGAGCAAGAGAGAGGGAGGGGAGGCAGCCACACACUUUUAAACAACCAGAUUUUUUUUUUUUUUUAGAUGGAGUCCUGCUCUGUUGCCCAGGCUGGAGUGCAGCAGCGUGAUCUCGGCUCACUGCAACCUCCACCUCCCAGGUUCAAGCGAUUCUCCUGCCUCAGGCUCCUGAGUAGCUGCGAUUACAGGCGCGUGCCACCAUGCCCGGCUAAUUUUUGUAUUUUUAGUAGAGGCAGGGUUUCACCAUGUUGGUCAGGCUAGUCUCGAACUCCUGACAUCGUGAUCCACCCGCCUCGGCCUCCUAAAGUGCUGGGAUUACAGGCGUGAGCCACCCUGCCUGGCCUAAGCAACCACAUCUUGCAUGAACUAACUGAGCGAGAACUCACUUAUCACUGAAGGGAUGGCGCUACACCAUUCACGAGGGGCUAUUCCCAUGAUCCAAUCACCUCCCACCAGGCCCCACCUCCAACAGUGGGGAUCACAUUUCAACAUGAGAUUUGGAGAGGACAAACAUCCAAACGAUAUCAGGCUGAAAACACGGCUGGCACUUGAAACUUUAGAGAAGUCACCUUUUCCCUGGGCUCCUCGCUCUGGUCUCCCUGAGACUGUCACAGCGGCUUCAUAGGUGCUUCGAGUUUCUUUGCCACCCCCUGAUCAGGCCUUCUGUGUUUUGUAGUAGUCGCCUUCCCAGAUUUAUUGAGUAGCUCAGCUGAACCAAGGUCUGAGCAUUCAAUUAGGUCUUGUUAUUCAUCCGUUCACCAAAUAUUUAGUGAGCCAUGUGCCAGGCACAUUUCUAGCUGCUGAUACAGCUGUGAACAAGACAGAUGAAGCCCUUGCCCUUCGUGGAGCUCACAUUUUAAUAAAUAGUUUGGAGGCGGACAAAGAGAAAAUAAACAGAGAAACACGAACCUGGAGCAUUUGGCUCACAACUUAGAGUUGACUCAUCUUCAGUUUGACGUCCCUCCUGCUACGAGUUCCUGGCUAACUGACAUCUCUUCUCCUCAAGCAGAUGCUAACUUUGAGCCCUACCACUGAUGGCAUUUGAGGGGGAGAGGAUAAGCCAAGGGAAGAGGAAAAUCAAAAUGCUUUCAGCAGCACGGCUUCCGCAUGCUGGAGAGGUGGUGUAUGGGGUUGCGGCUUGGCCUGUUUUCUGAAACCUGCAAGGUAGCACCCUGAAGGUAGCUUGUAACCCUCCACUCUCACACCAAGGUAAUACCUCCUUCCUGUCUGGCCACCUGUCACAGCCAGUGGAAGUAGGGUUUGGAGGGAUGGUUGGGACAUCCUUACACAAUGUUAGGUGGAGACUUAGUGAUGGCUUCGGGGGAAGGCAGAGGGAGUCUCUCUUGCGUCAGGGGGGUGGAAGCACCGCUGCCAUGAUCAAGCCCUUUGGAUGAAAGGAGGGCUGUGAGAUUUGCUGCCCAGAUGUGGGUUUGCAAAUGACCUUGUUGGUCUGUUACCCUGGCCUAGCUCAUAGAAGCUUUCUUCUCCUGUGGCUUGGGAGAGAGCCACCGUAAAAGACAAGCUGUGGCUAGUAAGCAUCUUCUAUGUGCUCUGGACUGUCUCAUGCAAGAGCUAGGGCAUAGGAUCCUCAUGAUGGCCCUUCAAGAGGGGUUAAUCUUGUCGUUGUUGCACUUCUAUGAGGAAACAGACCAUGUGAGGCUAAGUAACUUGCUCAAGGUCACACAGGGGUGAUUGAUGGGGUCACCCAGACUGUCUGACUCUUGUGUGGGUAUGGCUGCCCUCCUUGUCAGCCGGCGGGGUAUAGAGGCUGGCCCUCCAUUCUUGAUUUGCUCAGUAAUGGGGGCAGGACAACUCCACCUCCUUCUUCCCAAAGGAAAGUUGAGCUCAUUUUGGAAAGAAAGCAAACAGCCGUUCUCCUCUGGGGCUCUAUCCGGGGACAGGGCAGAAAGGAAAUCCAGUACACUGCGGAAGGAGUCAUUUUUUGGCCUGGUUCUCACCACCCAUCUCUAGUUCAAACCCUGCUUUUAGCAUAUCUGUGUUGAUGGGGCAGGGCCUGGGAAUCACGAUUUGCCUUUAAGAAGUGGAUGCACUUGGAGAGGCUGGCGCUUCCACCAACCAGGAAGAGCUGGGGGCACCCUGCUUGCUCUCCGAAACUUCACAGAAAGCCCCAAGAGCUGGGGAUGUGGGUUCUGUUCUGGAUCUCCAAGAGACGACGUCAUGCUAGAAUGUUCCCUUCAUUUUUGAAAACUGCACUCCUGCCUGGGGCCAUCUCGUGUCUUCAAUGGCUAAAGUAGAUGCUGAUUUGGGCAACCAGCUUUCUUUUCUGUUUUGAAAAUUAAUGCACCUGUGUAGUCACCCAGGCUUGAUAGUUGCAACAAUAACUCAUGGACAAGUUGUGUGACUGGUGGUAGUGACUCCAUUUGCUCACACCUCCUUGGAUUCAGUCCCUGGUGUAGUUCCCUCCCACACUGACUGUGGGUUUGGCCAGGUGACUUGCUUUGGCCAAUGGGACACCAUCAACCAUGAUUAGCAGAGGUUUGAAAAGUGCUUGUGCAUUGAGAUUUGCCCUCUCACGCUGUUCUUGGGACCCUUACAACUGCCAACAUGUGAAUGUGCCUGGGUUAGGCAGGUGGAGGUAUGUGGCCCAGUCACCACUGCCACCCAGCUGACAACCAGCACCAACCACCAGACACACUGCAUGAGGCCAUCCUAGACCAUUCGGUUCCCAGGUGACCUGCCAGCUGGUCACAGGUGAGUCCAGCAGAAGAACUGCCCAACCCAGCCCAGCCCAAAUUGCAGAUCUGCAGAAUCAUGGGCUGAUAAAUGAUUGCUCUUUUAAGCCACUAAGUUUUGGGGUGUUUUUUUAUUGUGAUAAAAUAUGCAUAACAUAGCAUUUACCAUUUUAACCAUUUUUAAACGUACAGUUGAGUGGCAUUCAGUACAUUCACAUUGUGCUACCAUCACCACCAGCCAUCUGCAGAAGUUUUUCAUCAUUUGCCGGGGUUCUUUAUAUAUCUAAGCUCACUCACUGAUUCACAAGCUGCGGGGGCUGCCUGCACCUCCCUGACUGUCUUGCAGCUGAUGAGCUUGUCUCUGAGUGGAGGCUCAGGCUCAGGCACCGAGCUCUGGAGUGAGGCCCAGUUCCAAACUGAAAGAGAACAAUGUCCACGGGUCUCGGCUGUAGCCACAGUUUAACACAACCCUGGCUUCCCUCAGGCAUGCUCACAAACGAUCCUGUUCCUGUGGGUGCAGGGAAGACAGACAAGCAGGGUCUCCACAAGGGAGGCUGCAGACCACAGGCAGACCCGGUGACAGGGGACAUGCUGGGACUUGCUGUUUAAAGAGCCACCACCAGGAACUUGGCACCUGACCUUGUGCUCAGGGGUGAGCUGUGACAGCUGCCACACCAGCCCUGCUGUCCUUGCCACUUCUAGCUGUGUGACUUGGGGUGAGUCACUUAAGCUUUCUGAGUCUGUUUUUUUCCCCCAUCUGCUAACUGAAUGUAAUCGUAGUGCCAUGUUUUAGGGCAAGGAUUAGAGGAGCCAGUGUUGGACACACUAACAGUUGCUUCAUUAAUUAAUAUAUGGGGCUGGCCAGGAUCCCUAUUCCCCCUGGCCCCAGACCCCUACCAUCUUUCCUCAUCCUUACUGGGAAGGGGCCUUUAGAAAGAAAAGAGACAAGGUCGGGCACGGUGGCUCAUGCCUGUAAUCCCAGCACUUUGGGAGAUCACCUGAGGUCAGCAGUUGGAGACCAACCUGGCCAACAUGGUGAAACCCUGUCUCUACUAAAAAUACAAAAAUUAGCUGGUCAUGGUGGCACUCGCCUGUAAUCCCAGCUACUGGGGAGGCUGAGGCAGGAGAAUUGCUUGAACCCAGGAGGUGGAGGUUGCAGUGAGCCAAGAUUGUGCCACUGCAUUCCAGCCUAGGGGACAGAGCAAGACUCUGUAAAAAAAAAAAAAAAAAAAAAAGAAAAGAAAAGAGAAAGACUUUGUUAGCAUCAGAAAUUAUGCUUUGAGAGGGAUCUUCAGUAUUAGCUGGAGAAACACUCAUUUGUCUUUUAGAUACUCACUUCUUGAUAUUCAUGUUAGGACCCUGGGCUAGGCUGACAGUGUAUAUAAAUAAAUACGGGGGCUCUGGGAGAGGAGGGAGAGAGCAAGGGCAUUUGGGGAUGCUGUGGCAGACUGUUGUGUUUAUUUUCUUCAUCUUCUUAUGUAAUAGAACCCCUGAUUUUUAGUUGGGCAUACACUCAUCUGGAAUAAAGACAAUGUUUCCCA
rnacentral:lncRNA from 10 species